rnacentral:rRNA from 1 species
CCUACGGGAGGCUGCAGUGGGGAAUCUUGCGCAAUGCGCGAAAGCGUGACGCAGUAACGCCGCGUGGGGGAAGACGGCCUUCGGGUUGUAAACCCCUUUCAGUUGGGACGAAGCUUCGCCCGUUAAUAGCGGGCCGGAGUGACGGUACCUUCAGAAGAAGCCCCGGCUAACUACGUGCCAGCAGCCGCGGUAAUACGUAGGGGGCAAGCGUUGUCCGGAAUCAUUGGGCGUAAAGAGCGUGUAGGCGGCCCGGUCAGUCCGCCGUGAAAGUCCAGGGCUCAACCCUGGGAUGCCGGUGGAAACUGUCGGGCUAGAGUCCGGAAGAGGCGAGUGGAAUUCCUGGUGUAGCGGUGAAAUGCGCAGAUAUCAGGAGGAACACCGGUGGCGAAGGCGGCAUCCUGGACCGGCAUUGACGCUGAGGCGCGAAAGCCAGGGGAGCA